rnacentral:rRNA from 1 species
UACGUAGGCAGCAAGCGUUGUUCGGAAUUACUGGGCGUAAAGAGUGUGUAGGCGGUGUUCUAAGUCUGUUGUGAAAUCCCCGGGCUCAACCCGGGAACUGCGUCCGAUACUGGCAGGCUUGAAUCCGGGAGAGGGAUGCGGAAUUCCAGGUGUAGCGGUGAAAUGCGUAGAUAUCUGGAGGAACACCGGUGGCGAAGGCGGCAUCCUGGACCGGCAUUGACGCUGAGGCGCGAAAGCCAGGGGAGCAAACGGG